GGGGCUGAUUCUGGAUUCGACGGGAUUUGCGAAACCCAAGGUGCAUGCCGAGGGGCGGUUGGCCUCGUAAAAAGCCGCAAAAAAAUAGUCGCAAACGACGAAACCUACGCUUUAGCAGCUUAAUAACCUGCUUAGAGCCCUCUCUCCCUAGCCUCCGCUCUUAGGACGGGGAUCAAGAGAGGUCAAACCCAAAAGAGAUCGCGCGGAUGCCCUGCCUGGGGUUGAAGCGUUAAAACGAAUCAGGCUAGUCUGGUAGUGGCGUGUCCGUCCG
rnacentral:tmRNA from 1 species